CGUGCUAGACGGGAAGUUAGCGGUGUCCUGUACCUGCAAUCCGCUAUAGCAGGGUUGAAUUCCUCGUUGAGGCUUUAAAAUGGGAGGUCUGGCUUAUAUAAGUGGCGUUGAGAAUUGGGCCCUACGCAAUAGGAACUCAUGAACCCCGUCAGGUCCGGAAGGAAGCAGCGGUAAGUGAGAACUCCUAUGUGCCGUAGGUAAACCUGGUUUGAGUUAACUAUAUAAGUAACG
rnacentral:SRP_RNA from 16 species